rnacentral:lncRNA from 10 species
GGAAGAGUGUCAGGUGGGAGAAACCAGGAUGGUCUUCGCUGAGAAGGUGGCAUUGCAGAUGCAUCAAAGACAGUGGGACCACCUGGGCACCCUGAAAGGAAAGGUGAGUUUGGGGGCACACAGGAGUGUUGCCUGGGUUUCUGCCUGCAAUCAUGUUUUAUGUCUUACUCUUGGGUGGAUUCUGUUAUCCACCAGUCCAUACAGUCCGGAUGCUCUAUUACUUCUGCCUGGAAUAAACUUCCCUCCUCUAGCUCUCUGGAAACCUUCCCUCCUCUACCUGACCUUCAAAACUUCCAUGCCUCCUUCUCUGUGAAGCCUUCCCUGAUCCCAUCCCAGGCAGAGUUUCAUCCCCUGGGUACCCAAAUCAUCAUGCAUGUAUUUUUAUU